rnacentral:lncRNA from 1 species
CAUGGAUGUUGGUGCCCCCUGGAAUGUGAGAACCGUUGGGAGAAAGAAGAAGAGCAUGUUACAGCAGAAAGAGAAGAGUCCUGUAUUCAGGAAAGCACAGAUAGAAACUCAGAAAGAUCGACGUGCCCAGAAAAUCAGUGUUCUGAAAGGCCACUUGUCGAGUGGCAUUUCUAGUUUGCUCCCUGAAUUUUCAGAAGAGACUACUGAAUUAACUAAUAAAAGAGAAUGAAUCAUUCAGAGGGAAUGAUCAGUUCUACCAAAGUCCAGGCAUCCAGCAAAGAGGAAACCAAGCUAAUUGGAAAAUAAAUUGGCAAAAUUCUGAAUUAUGGCUCUGUUGUUAUUUGUCUGAGUUGGGCUAAUUAUUGGUAUCUUAAUAGACUUCUCGUUUGGGUGCAUGUGUCAGCAGGUGAAUAUAUUAGUGGAACUUGGCUUUUUGGAUGAGAAACUAGAUGUCCUGAAUGCAAAUAUAUUUCAUUUGCUUAUUCCACUAAGGAAACUACCACUUAAAGCAAAAAGAUAUAAAGAUAUAGUCAAUCCAACUACAUUUCCAGAUAUUCCAAAGGUUUUCAUAACCCUUUGUCAGCACUUUGCCUGCCUUGUGCCAGGUAUGGAAUCACUAUGGUUUGGUAAGAGGGAGGCACCGUCACCUCCAUUCUGGUCUCCUCACCUUCAAACUCACAUUUGGUGAAAGGCAGAUGGCAUGAGGCAAUAAAGGUGCCUGAAUAAGAAUUGUACAUGAAAGGAGUAGUAAACGAUCUCCCAGCGAGCUGUGCUUUUGUCUGACCUGGUCAUUUUCCCAGCCUUCCCCCUGCCUGGAAUGCCCUUCCCCUCCUGCCCCUCUUCCUAUCCGCUCUCCAGGGUCAGUUUGGGGGGCCUUGCCUUGGGGGGCUUUCCUUGACAUCACUCCACACCGUGUCCCUCGUCCAGCUCAUGCCCAUCUGUCUCCCCGAGCGCUCUCUGCUGCCUUUCACUGGGCAGUCUCUCUGCUAUUAUUUGCACUACUGUCUCCUCUCGUUAGACAAGAAGUUCACUGAAGACAGGAAUUCCACUUUUGUCCUUUCUAUCCUUGCUUGUUUGCUUAAGAUCUUUCCCCAGAGCCAUGCACUUGAUGUGUGUUGAAUGAUGCCAUUGCGCACUGGUUAAAGACUAGAUAUCAAUGACCACCUUCUUUUUAUCAGACUUGACUACCAGGGCAUGGAUUGGGGAUCUAGCUAGAUCAGAGACUCAAAAGAGCUUAAGGGAAAAAGAGAAUAUCCCAAGCCACUCUUGUUUUGGAAAACUGAUCUACAUCAGAAUACCAUGGAGGAAUCUACAGGGUGGAGUGUCUGGGAGUUAGGAGACUUGCAUUCUGCUGUGGCCUUAGGACUAUUUUGCUGUGUGACUGUGGGCAAAUUCUGGAACUUCUCUGGGCUUCUCUUUCCUCACCUGAGAAAUGAGCACAUGGCCCUUCUUAUGGGUUACUCCCUUUCCACGGGCUCAGAGUUUGCACUACGAUUUCCACAUCUUGUGAGAAUGGAAACCACACUCCCUUUCUGCACCCUGAAUGACUGAUUCUCCAUCUAGGCAGCUAGACUCACCAGUGCUGUUGCAUGCAAGUUGGGUGAAGAGAUGGAGCUAUCAUUCAC